rnacentral:rRNA from 1 species
UACAUGGGGUGCAAACGUUGCUCGGAAUCAUUGGGCGUAAAGCGCGCGUAGGCGGUUGCUUAAGUCGGAUGUGAAAGCCCUCGGCUUAACUGAGGAAGUGCAUCCGAAACUGAGCAGCUAGAGUACGAAAGAGGGUCGCGGAAUUCCCGGUGUAGAGGUGAAAUUUCGUAGAUAUCGGGAGGAACACCGGUGGCGAAGGCGGCGACCUGGGUCGAGACUGACGCUGAGGCGCGAAAGCGUGGGGAGCAAACAGG